AGCAGCCGCGGUAAUUCCAGCUCCAAUAGCGUAUAUUAAAGUUGUUGCAGUUAAAAAGCUCGUAGUUGAAUUUCGGGGUUAGCAGGUCGGUCGUGCCAAUGGUAUGCACUGGCCUUGCUGAUUCCUCCCUCUUGAUGAGCCGUAAUGCCAUUAAUUUGGUGUUGCGGGGAAUCAGGACUGUUACUUUGAAAAAAUUAGAGUGUUUAAAGCAGGCAAGCGCUUGAAUACAUUAGCAUGGAAUAAUGAAAUAGGACGUUUGAUCCUAUUUUGUUGGUUUCUAGGAUUGACGUAAUGAUUAAUAGGGAUAGUUGGGGGCAUUAGUAUUCAAUUGUCAGAGGUGAAAUUCUUGGAUUUAUUGAAGACUAACUACUGCGAAAGCAUUUGCCAAGGAUGUUUUCAUUAAUCAAGAACGAAAGUUAGGGGAUCGAAGACGAUCAGAUACCGUCGUAG
rnacentral:rRNA from 1 species